rnacentral:lncRNA from 1 species
CUCAACUUGGUGUCUGAGGGUUUUGUCUGCGGCUCGUCCUGCUACAUUUCUUGGUGCCCCGACCAGGAAGUGAGGUGAUUAGCGGACGGUUGAGGCAACCCCUUAGGUGGCUUAGGCCUGCCCUGUGGAGCAUCCCUGUGGGGCACUCUGGCCAGCUUUAGCGACACAAAUCCUGAGAGCACUCCCGGGUAGGCAAUUGCCCUGGUGGAAUGCCUUGCCAGAGCAGUGCACGGUAGGCCCCCAUGGAGGAUCAACGCAGUGGCUGAACACCCAGAAGGAAUUGGCGCUUGGACUCCAGACAUCUGGAACACGCUGCCCCAUGGAGAGGUCCAAGCUGCAAGAAACUGAUACCU